rnacentral:rRNA from 1 species
GGACCUGCACAAGCGGUGGAGCAUGUGGUUUAAUUCGACGCAACGCGAAGAACCUUACCUGGGUUAAAUCCGAGUGAAAAGCGCAGAGAUGCGUUCCCCUCGCAAGAGGCACAAAGGAAGGUGCUGCAUGGCUGUCGUCAGCUCGUGUCGUGAGAUGUUGGGUUAAGUCCCGCAACGAGCGCAACCCUUACCAUUAGUUACCAUCAUUCAGUUGGGGACUCUAAUGGAACUGCCGGUGAUAAACCGGAGGAAGGUGGGGAUGACGUCAAGUCAUCAUGGCCUUUAUGUCCAGGGCUACACACGUGCUACAAUGGACGGUACAAACCGUAGCAAACCCGCGAGGGGGAGCCAAUCGGAAAAAACCGUUCUCAGUUCGGAUUGUAGUCUGCAACUCGACUACAUGAAGUUGGAAUCGCUAGUAAUCGCGGAUCAGCACGCCGCGGUGAAUACGUUCCCAGGUCUU